GGCUGUUGCUCAGAGACAGUUUUGUUGAAAGUAUUUUGUAGCUGCUACUUCUGAGGGGGAAGGGGAAGGCACCUUGUGACUGCUUAGGCAAGAGGCCUGCGGGCAUACGUAUACCCGUAGUAUGUACUCCGUCUAUGCACACUAGGCAUUGAGCAUGUUGCUCUACCAAGGAGAAGAGGUAACAUCGAGAUCCUACUACUACAGAGGGAGGCUUACUGGAUAUCCUGUCUAAAAACAUUGUCCCCUUGUGGUCUGAAUAUUGACUUUGAUCUCAGGUCCUUCUUAUGAACAAUUCUCUCUUUAUGAACCAAUCUUAUGAAUUUGUACAGCUUUUCAGCAUACACCUACAGUGAGGCAAAAAAGUAUUUAGUC